UAUCACUGUGCUUGCUGGUAAACUUGUGCGUGUUUGUUUGUGUUGUCAGGCUCCAGGAUGCGGUGAGCCUUGUCGAUCUGUUCCACAAGGUUUACCCCCAGAGUGAGUCGGCUCAGGAGGCUGCCAGCCAGCAGGCCACUGGCACUGACCUGCUAAAGAUCUUUGCCCAGAAAGAGUCCCAGAGGUCAGGCUACAUUGAAUUGGCCCUGCAGUCGUAUGAACAGAUGGAUGUUAAGACUUCUACCGCCUAGCUCUCCACCCCCACACAGAAACCUUUUAAUUCUUUGUCAGUGAGGAAUGUUACACACAACCAGAGGAGCACACUCGAAUUGUCCACUCACAGGUCUGAUCACACCUGCUUUGCUCCUUAAAUAAAAGUUGCUUCCUGACUGGGAGGCGCAAGGAAAAUUGGCAGAGUAUGUCUCCCUUACCCAAAAAGCUUUUCUGAUUGUUCAUGUACGAGUUUCAAUUGAAGCGCUGAGUGAAAAAUGUGUCAUGUUAACUGACUAAUAUACAGAAAAUAAAUUACAUUGUAAAAUGC